AACUAAACAUAGUUUCACAACAGUUACAUCAUUGUUACCUACUCACGCUGCCCUCCGCGAUAGUGAGCGACCUCUCAUUGUGGAACGAGCGUCGAGAUUGUAGGACGAUUGUGUUAGUAAAAUGCGCGUGAUCCUAAUAAUUACUAUCAUCUCCACGUUAUUGUGGUGUGCGUGUGGUAGCAACUUCUUGGUAGGUAAUGUAGCGAACCGAGUGGACCUGAGACAUCACGAGCUGGUCCAGUACAACGCGAUACCAUUCAUAAAAAGAGUGAAAUAUUUCUUCUACACGGAUCCACAGAAUAAAGUGAUUGAAGGUAUACAAGCUUUGGACAACCUUCACAGCAAAUCUUCAAUCAACAUAACGGCGGGUGGCGUCGGAUCUACGUUUGUAAAUUUGAGGCUCAAAAGUGAAAGAGGAGGUGCUCUUGAUUACGAUAUUGGAAUCUAUGCACGUCCUGAUUUUAUUUAAGGAAAUAAUUAAUUAAAAAAAUAUAUAU